AACCUUUAGCAAUGGAUCACUUGGUUCUGGCAUCGAUGAAGAACGCAGCGAAAUGCGAUAAGUAAUGUGAAUUGCAGAAUUCAGUGAAUCAUCGAAUCUUUGAACGCACAUUGCGCCCCGUGGUAUUCCGCGGGGCAUGCCUGUUCGAGCGUCAUUUAAACCAAUCCAGCUUGCUGGGUCUUGGGCUUUCGCCUCCGGGCGGGCCUUAAAAUCAGUGGCGGUGCCAUCCGGCUCUAAGCGUAGUAAUUCUUCUCGCUACAGAGUCCCGGGUGGAGGCUUGCCAGCUAACCCCUAAUUUUCAAAGGUUGACCUCGGAUCAGGUAGGGAUACCCGCUGAACUUAAGCAUAUCAAUAAGCGGAGGCU
rnacentral:misc_RNA from 1 species